GCCGCUGGCUCCGCCCACCGCGUGGUCCAAGGACCACCACCCGCCACCGCCGCGCGAGCGUACUAUUGCGGCCGCCCUCUGCUGCGCCUGAAGAGAGAGGCGACUCUACAAGCCUCACAGCAUGCACUGUUACUAAAAAGACGAUGCGUCCUCCUGGACCUGAGAUCUGUGUGAUCGUGGGAAAGCGACGAAAAACAAUUUGAAGAAAUGAUGCUGAGCCAGUUCCAGGCCUACCCCUUAAGGAGACUUGACACUUUCUACUUUAGCUCUCUUGGAACUUUGAGCCACCACGUGAGGAGUCUGAUUACCCAUUCGCAAGUGAUGCCUAAACAGCCCCUGUUCCUUCCAGACAACCCACCUGAGGCACCAGACACAUGAGUGAAGCCAUCUUGGACAUCCCAGUCACAGCCAAACUCACUCCUGAGUGCAUCUGCAUGAUGAACCCAGCAAUCCCCACCAUGGAGCAAAGGAUCCAUCCAGUCAACCCAAAGAAUCGUGAAAAAUAAUAAAUUGUUGUUUUAAAGUUCUUCAGUUUGGGAAUAGCUUGUUAUGCAACAAUACAUAAUUAAUACACUGGUCUCCCACUUUCAAGUUUGAUUAACUUUCAGCUAUUUUUCACAUAGCAGGCAGAGUGAUUCCAUUAAAACAUAUAUCAGAUAAUGUCACUGCACUAAGUAAACUCUACAAGGACUCUCAUCUCCCUCAGAGUAAAGGUCACAGUUGUUACAAGGCCCUACGUAAUGUGGCCCUCACCACCACUCCAUUACCUUUUUCUUAUCUACUAUUUGCUAACUUUGCUUUGUCCUCUUUUCUGUUCUGAAACAGGCUAGGCAUGGUCCUGCCUCAAGGCCUUUGCACCACCUACUCUGUCUGCUUGGAUUGUUCUUCCCACAGAUUUCUUGCUCCCUUCUUCCUUCAUGAAGAAAUGUCAUGAAAUGUCCUUCCUUCAUGAAAUGUCACCUUCUCAUUUGAGGCCUUCUGUAGUACCCCAAAGAAUGGUCCCCAAAGAUGUCCACAUCCUUAUGCCCAGAACCUGUGAAUGUGUUAUCUUAAUGGCAAAAGUGACUUUGCAAAUGUGAUUAUAUUUAAGGAUCUUAAGGAGGAGAUUAUCCUGGAUUAUCCAGGAGGGCCCAAUGUAAUCACAAGGGCCCUUAUAAGUGAAAGGGGGAGGCAACAGAGAGAAGGAGAUGUCAUAAUGAAAACAGAUCCAAGUGAUGAGAUUGCUGGCUGGGGUGGAGGUGGAGGGGGGUACAAUCCAAGGAAUGCAAGAAGCCUCUAAAAGCUAGGAAAUGUCAGGACACAAAUUCUCCCCUAGAACCUGAGGAAGAAACCCAGGUUUAUGGACACUGAUUUUAACCCAAUAAGUCCCUUUUCUGACUGCUGACCUCCAAAACUGUAAGAUAAUAAAUUUGUGUUAUUUUAAGCCAACUGAGUUUGAGAUAAUUUAGUUAUGGCAGCAAUAGGAAACUAGCACACCUUCCUAGCCAUCCUAUCUAAAAUGGCAACCCAUGUCCUUCCUGGCACUUCCUAUCUCCCUUCCAUGUUUUUUUUAAAUCAUAUAUACAAUAUAUUUUACUGUUUUACCUAUUGUCUUUUCCACCAGAAAGUAAACUCCACGUAAAUAAGGAUUGUCUGUUUUAUUCUUUGCAGUAUCUCCACUGCCUAGGAUAGCAUCUGCACAUACUGCACACUCAGUACACAUUUGUCGAAUGAGGUCAGGCGCGGUGGUUCACACCUGUAAUCCCAGCACUUUGGGAGGCCAAGGCGGGUGGAUCACCUUAGGUUAGGAGUUCGAGACCAGCCUGGCCAACAUGGUGAAACCAUGUCUCUACUAAAAAUACAAAAAGUAGUUGGGCAUGGUGGCAUGUGCCUGUAAUCCCAGCUACUUGGGAGGCUGUGGCAGGAGAGUCACUUGAAUCUGGGAGGUGGAGGUUGCAGUGAGCCAAGAUUGUGCCACUCCACUCCAGCCUGGGCAACAGAGUAAGACUCUGGCUCAAAAAAAAAAAAAAAGAAAGAAAGAAAAAAAUACAUAUUUGUUGAAUGAACAAGUGAAUGAACAAAUGUUAUGCAAAUAUAUUAUCCCUAUCUGUAGCUUGCCUUUUAAUUUUGUUAUAGUAACUUUGGUUGAAAGGAAGUUCUAAAAUCUUUAAUAUAAUCAAAUGUAUCAAUCUUUUCAACUUGUAUAUUUUAUGCCUUGUUUAAU
rnacentral:lncRNA from 1 species